rnacentral:lncRNA from 1 species
AGAACACACAGAUAUACACUACGUAUCUUCUGCAGUUUGCUGUUUUCACUCAGCAAUAUGUCUUAAGGAUCUUUUCGUGUUGAUACAUUUUGAUCAAUUUCCUCUCGAAACGGUUUCCAGGGCCCUGGUUAAUUGUGGAGCCAACCUGGUGUGUGGCAGCCAGGUCGGGCUGGUGUCUUCAGAGUGGCUGUGUCAGAAGUGCCUCGUGUAUGACAGAAACGCAGGCCAGCUGGAACAUCCCCAGGCGUUCUGUCCUGGAUCAAGCAAGAGGAAGGGGCAAGUGGGAGGAGCCAGCAGGGCCCACAGGAGACCACUGUGGCACACCUGUGCUCAGGCAGCAUGGUGCUGGGCGCUGCAGGGGCUCAUUAAUGCGUGAGACACAGAUUCCACUCAGGAGAGAGAAGACGAACACAGACACAGUACACAGUGGGAAGGGGCACUGCCAUGUCUGCAGCCAGAGAGCCCUUUCAGAAUCUGACCCAAAAGAUGGCCAGUGUUCUAAGAAAAAGCACAUAUGCUUACGAUGUGCAAACAGCUGAAGGUGUUCUUUCAACUAUAGUAAAAGGGGUGUCUCGGUGGCCACAGGCGGCCCAGAUGAAGAGACCUGUCUGGGCCGCAGAGAGAAG